GAGAGAGAGAGAGAGAGAGAGAGAGAGAGAGGAUGGAGGCCUGGUCGUGAUAAUGAUAAAUUUAGUUGCUAGGUGUCAAUGAGCCAUUGAGCCCUCUCAUGGCUGCUUCCCGUUUCUCAGUGGACAGAGUACCAGCUCUUAACGCCCUCUUUCACGCUGGAAGCCUGCCUCGAUCUGCUACUGAAUGUGCCUUCUCUGAGCAAUCGUGAUUUUUCUCGCCGUUUUGGCUCAGUACAAUUGAUUCUGAUAAUGGUUCAUCAGGUCAGAGAAUCUGGCUACGUGUUGCAUGAGUUUACGGGAUAGAUGGAAGAAAACCACGCUGAAUGGGGAAAAGGCGAGAAAGAAACGGAAAGAAAGCAUCGAAACAUGAUUUUCAACUGAUUUUGGGGGUUGAAUCUUUCAUAUCCUUUUUCUCCUGGCCCCUCCUUCUACUAGACUCUCCUUUUUCUUCUCAUGCUCCUUCUCCGGCCGAUUUCGUUGGUAUCUGUUUUCUUUCCGGUUGUAUAGUGAAAAACCCUAAAAUUUUCAAAUAAGCUCUUGCUCUAGGUAUUAUUUGAAGUAAGCGAGAGAUCCUAGAUUUGCCUAUUUUUCUUGUUCCAAUUAUUUUUCGCAUUUGUUCUUUUUGGUUUUUCCCGGCCUCCUUUCCUCAGAUCUGAUUCAAUUAUAAGUGUCUUUCCAUCGAUUUUUCAAGAGCACUCGUUUUUCCCUCGGCGUUUCCUUAUUUGGGCAGGCCUUCGUAUUUUCCUGAUCUCGACUCCUAUAGCUUAUUUCAUAUGACAUAGAAAUUGACAGAAGAGAGUGAGCACACAGAGGCACUCGGUAUUGUUUCAUACUGAUGCUUUUGCGUGCUCAUUCUCUUUCUGUCAGCUUCCAGUGCUGGAAAUGAGUCUCACUGCUAUUUCUGGUUUCUGAAUCCUUCUCGGUUUGAUUCUUUCCUCAUUAUGUAUCCUUUCUUAGCAAUUGGAUGGAUCCUCAGCUGAAAGCAUGAAAGAUCAUUGGUGAGAAAUGAGAAUGAGGAGGUUAUCAUUAUCCAACAGUGUAAAGCAGUUGGUGAAGAUACCCGAGUAGCCCUGUGCAGAUUAAGCAGCCAAAUUAGCGCAUAGCUUGGGACCAUUUCACGUUAUAGUAUGGUCCUCACAAUUUUAUCUUACCGAUGCUUUGCAGGCAUCAUCGUCAUCAUCCUCAUUAUCGUUUUCUUCCACGCACAUUUUUUUUAAAAUAAUUGCUGCGCAUGCGAUGCAGUUGGUUUGCUGUUUGUUCUCACCUGAGUCAUGGCUAGAUUCUGCCUUCUGCUUCAUAUCUGAACAUAUUUAUUUCAGGAGUAACAAAAUAUUCGAGCUCAAUUAUUGAACAGUAAAGAGUGUGAAAAGCGGCAAAGUCGCGGUGACCAAAGAGGAAAGCGAGCGCAAACGAAUGGUCGAGCCGGGCGAGCAAAGCAGUUUUCCUGUUCUGACAUAUUUCUGAGAAUCGUAAUUGAAGUGAUCCUAUUAUAUGUAACAUUAAUAUUUUGCUCUUGGACUGUUGCUUCUGCGGCUCCGCUUUUAUAUUACUCAUAAUAGUAAAGAAGUUACAAAAGGCAUGUAUUCAAUAGCAAAGGCUGGACCUGGAUGUUUCAAUAGCAAAGGCAUGCAUCCGUACUGCUUGUAAAUCUAAGAAGAGAUAUAACUAGAAUUUAGUAGUUAAUACGUUGCGAUAUUGCUAAUUACUAACAAUAAAUUGUCGCUAAUGCCUGAUUAUUGGA